AAGGUGGCGUAUGCCACAGCCAUGGACUGGUUCAUAGCAGUCUGUUAUGCCUUC
rfam:Salmo salar isolate Sally breed double haploid chromosome ssa10, whole genome shotgun sequence.